rnacentral:rRNA from 1 species
CAUGCAAGUCGAGCGCGCCCUUCGGGGUGAGCGGCGGACGGGUGAGUAACGCGUGGGAAUAUGCCCUUCUCUAAGGAAUAGCCUCUGGAAACGGAGAGUAAUACCUUAUACGCCCUUCGGGGGAAAGAUUUAUCGGAGAAGGAUUAGCCCGCGUUAGAUUAGGUAGUUGGUGGGGUAAUGGCCUACCAAGCCUACGAUCUAUAGCUGGUUUGAGAGGAUGAUCAGCCACACUGGGACUGAGACACGGCCCAGACUCCUACGGGAGGCAGCAGUAGGGAAUCUUAGACAAUGGGGGCAACCCUGAUCUAGCCAUGCCGCGUGUGUGAUGAAGGCCCUAGGGUCGUAAAGCACUUUCGCCAGAGAUGAUAAUGACAGUAUCUGGUAAAGAAACCCCGGCUAACUCCGUGCCAGCAGCCGCGGUAAUACGGAGGGGGUUAGCGUUGUUCGGAAUUACUGGGCGUAAAGCGCACGUAGGCGGAUUAGUAAGUUAGAGGUGAAAUCCCAGGGCUCAACCCUGGAACUGCCUUUAAUACUGCUAGUCUUGAGUUCGAGAGAGGUAAGUGGAAUUCCGAGUGUAGAGGUGAAAUUCGUAGAUAUUCGGAGGAACACCAGUGGCGAAGGCGGCUUACUGGCUCGAUACUGACGCUGAGGUGCGAAAGUGUGGGGAGCAAACAGGAUUAGAUACCCUGGUAGUCCACACCGUAAACGAUGAAUGCCAGACGUCAGCAAGUAUACUUGUUGGUGUCACACCUAACGGAUUAAGCAUUCCGCCUGGGGAGUACGGUCGCAAGAUUAAA